rnacentral:lncRNA from 1 species
GCCCUCAUCUCCUCACUAUUCUUCCUUUGUUUUUCUAACCUUCCCAGGUUCCAUUCUGCGCCUGGAAAAGUAAUCUAAACAGACAGCAUCACUUGCCUGUCUUUGUCAACUGAUCCUGGAAACCCUGGCAGGAGGCAGAAGAGUGAGAAGAUAGAGUGAUUGGGUCCUUUUCCCAACAUGCCUGCUUUGACCCAGCAUUUGCAGCAGCACCUGUGUCCUUCCUUGACUAUGGAUUUGGUCUAGCCAUUUUUUUCUUUCUUUCUUUUGCUGUUGUUGUUAUUUGGAUCAGGUGGAAUUAAGGAGCUGUCAUCCUGCAUGUGACAGAAGAUCCUAGGUCCCCAUGUCUUGAAUGUUUCAGUCCUGUCUCAUGAAGUUUCUGUCUCCUGCUCUAUGAGUGACGAAAUGGAGAGGUACAUCUUGUACAGAUAUUUGCCCUCUGGAAAGAAGUGACUGUAUAAGCCCCACAACAAAAAAGACUGGUGACCACACAUUUGGGACAGUCAGAAUAGACCUGCGUGAGGUUUGCUAAUUGAGAGAGGAGAGGAACACAAUUCAUUUCUGACUCGGUUAUCAAACUGUUCUUGUAAGUGACACGACUGAAACCACCUCUUGGCUUUGCAAACUGCUGAGUCCGGACUUCUGCAUCUCUGAAAGCUCAGCGAAUGGAUCUUCUCAGCAAAGUGAGAGGGUUUCACCUGCAAGGGCUGUCAGGGGCGGCUGCACCCCACGACCAACCAUUUCUCAGGAGCUCUCUUUCUUUUUCACCUGUUGAAU